rnacentral:rRNA from 1 species
AUUGAACGCUAGCGGGAUGCCUUACACAUGUAAGUCGAACGAGUGGCGAACGGGUGAGUAAUGUAUCGGUACGUGCCCAGUAGCGGGGGAUAACUACGCGAAACGUAGCUAAUACCGCAUACUAUUGGAGCGGCCGGUAUCGGAUUAGCUAGUUGGUGGGGUAACGGCUCACCAAGGCGACGAUCCGUAGCUGGUUUGAGAGGACGACCAGCCACACUGGUACUGCGACACGGCCCAGACGACUACGGGAGGCAGCAGUGGGGAAUUUUGGACAAUGGGGGAACCCCUGAUCCAGCCAUCCCGCUUGUGCGAUGAAGGCCUACUGGUUGUAAAGCACGUUUGGCAGGAAAGCGGUACCUGCAGAAUAAGCACCGGCUAACUACGUGCCAGCCGCCGCGGUAAUAC